AGCUAAUUUAACAGGACAUGCAGAGAAGGUGGGGAUUGAAAAUUUUGAGCUCCUCAAGGUCCUAGGAACUGGAGCUUAUGGAAAAGUAUUUCUGGUUCGUAAAAUCAGCGGUCAUGACGCUGGCAAGCUGUACGCCAUGAAAGUCUUGAAAAAGGCCACAAUAGUGCAAAAGGCCAAAACCACAGAGCACACAAGGACGGAGCGGCAAGUCCUGGAGCACAUCAGGCAGUCACCGUUCUUGGUGACCUUGCACUAUGCUUUCCAGACAGAAACCAAACUUCAUCUCAUUUUAGUUGAUGAUGUCUGCCUUUCCUGGUUAAUAAACUUUCAUUUCAUUUAAUACCCAGUGGUACCAGUUAUUUAUUGCUCAUAAUAAACCACUCUACAGUUUA